rnacentral:misc_RNA from 1 species
UGAGAGCAUCAAGCAGGAGAGGAA